rnacentral:rRNA from 1 species
AACGAACGCUGGCGGCAGGCUUAACACAUGCAAGUCGAACGGGUGUAGCAAUACAUCAGUGGCAGACGGGUGAGAAACACGUGGGAACCUUCCUAGGGGGACGGAACAACUCAGGGAAACUUGAGCUAAUACCGAAUACGUACGUAAGGGGAAAGAUUUAUCGCCCUUAGACGGGCCCGCGUCGGAUCAGCUAGUGGGUGGGGUAACGGGUAACCAAGGCGACGAUCCGUAGCUGAUCUUAGAGGAUGAUCAGCCACACAGGGACUGAGACACGGCACCGACUCCUACGGGAGGCAGAAGUGGGGAAUCUUGGACAAUGGGCGCAAGCCUGAUCCAGCCAUGCCGCGUGAGUGAAGAAGGUCUUCGGAUUGUAAAGCUCUUUUGCCAGGGACGAUAAUGACGGUACCUGAAGAAUAAGCCCCGGCAAACUUCGUGCCAGCCGCCGCCGUAAAAC